rnacentral:rRNA from 1 species
GUGUCAGCAGCCGCGGUAAUACGGAGACUGCGAGCGUUACUCGGAUUCACUGGGCGUAAAGGGUGCGCAGGCGGUUAAUUGUGUCAGGUGUGAAAUCCCGGAGCUCAACUCCGGAACUGCGCCUGAAACUGAUUGACUAGAGGCUCGGAAGGGUAAGCGGAAUUCCAGGUGUAGCGGUGAAAUGCGUAGAUAUCUGGAGGAACACCAAAGGCGAAGGCAGCUUACUAGACGAGAUCUGACGCUCAGGCACGAAAGCGUGGGGAGCAAAAAGGAUUAGAAACCCUGGUAGUCC